rnacentral:rRNA from 1 species
UACGUAGGGUGCGAGCGUUGUCCGGAAUUAUUGGGCGUAAAGGGCUCGUAGGCGGCCUGUCGCGUCGGGAGUGAAAACUCAGGGCUUAACCCUGAGCCUGCUUCCGAUACGGGCAGACUAGAGGUAUGCAGGGGAGAACGGAAUUCCUGGUGUAGCGGUGGAAUGCGUAGAGAUCAAGAGGAACACUCGUGGCGAAAGCGAGCUACUGGACAAUUCCUGACGCUGAGGCUCGAAGGCUAGGGUAGCGAAAGGG